UGCCAUCCUGCAUGGACGUCCUUUUUUAGUU
rnacentral:piRNA from 1 species